GUCGAUUAAGCCAUGCGAGUUAAAUGUUCUUCGUGAACAUAGCAGACUGCUCAGUAACACGUGGAUAACCUGCCCUUAGGACUGGCAUAACCCCGGGAAACUGGGGAUAAUUCCGGAUAGAUCAUAAAUGCUGGAAUGCUUUAUGAUUGAAAGGUUUCGACCGCCUUAGGAUGGAUCUGCGGCCUAUCAGGUUGUAGUGGGUGUAAUGUACCUACUAGCCUACGACGGGUACGGGUUGUGGAAGCAAGAGCCCGGAGAUGGAUUCUGAGACAUGAAUCCAGGCCCUACGGGGCGCAGCAGGCGCGAAAACUUUACAAUGCGGGAAACCGUGAUAAGGGAACACUGAGUGCUAGCAUUUAUGUUAGCUGUCCACAUGUGUAAAUAGCAUGUGAUAGCAAGGGCUGGGCAAGACCGGUGCCAGCCGCCGCGGUAACACCGGCAGCCCGAGUGGUGAUCACUAUUAUUGGGUCUAAAGGGUCCGUAGCCGGUUUAAUCAGUCUUCUGGGAAAUCUAAUCGCUUAACUAUUAGGCUUCCAGGGGAUACUGUUAGACUUGGGACCGGGAGAGGUAAGAGGUACUGCAGGGGUAGGAGUGAAAUCUUGUAAUCCCUGUGAGACCACCAGUGGCGAAGGCGUCUUACCAGAACGGGUCCGACGGUGAGGGACGAAAGCUGGGGGCACGAACCGGAUUAGAUACCCGGGUAGUCCCAGCUGUAAACGAUGCUCGUUAGGUGUCAGGAACGGUGCGACUGUUUCUGGUGCCGAAGGGGAGCCGUGAAACGAGCCACCUGGGAAGUACGGCCGCAAGGCUGAAACUUAC
rnacentral:rRNA from 1 species